ACCAAAGCUGUAAUAAAAUGGUAUUUAUAGUGUUAUGAUCGUAUGUAAACACACACUUUACGUUUCCAUUUACAUUUUGAAAACAAAUUCUUAUCAGAAAUAGAUUUCUUACGAACACGUCGAAAGUAAAUAUACGCAACAAAAAUAGUUAGUCUGUUGUGAAACACGGUCGGGUAAAGUGAUUCAGUAAUUUUUGAACGAGCGUGAAUUCGUGUAAAUUUUCAUCAGUGUCGAUUAAUUUGAAAUAUUUAGUGGAAAAAAAGUGAAAUACUUACGAUGGAUAGAUUUCAAUAUCUAGAUAUUUUAAUUAUUUUAAAAACAAAUUUAAUUGCAAAUAUUACAAAAGUUCAGUGUUGCCAGAUUCGUGGAUCUUUCAGCAAGAUCGAGAUUCUAAACGUAGAAUUGGUUGCAACAGAAUGCUCCAAAUUUUAUUUUUAAUUAAUCUCAAUGGAAUAUUAAUCAAAUUAUUGGCAAUCUUUACGAUUAUUCAAAACAGAUUGUUAAAUUGUAUCUUCAAGUUGAUAUAUAUUCCCUGUAACGAAAGACUGGGUGAAAAAACUCACAUCAAGAUGGAUAAAGACUACUGGCGAUCUAAGUUCAAGGUUUUGGUGUAUAACGCGUCAAACGAUCAAUCAUAUUGCAAUGAAUGACCGACAAGAAGUAUGAAAUGCGCAAAAACAUGGUGCUUAAUAAGCUGAGUUCAGAA